GACCUAAGAGAUAGAAAAUAGAGAAUUUCUGAAACAGCUAAUAUUUUACCGUUCCAUCAAAAUUUCAGUGAUCUUUUACUUCUGAAAAAAUAAAGUUCCUAUCCUGAUAUCCACCAUGUAUUGAGGUCUGGUUGUUAAAGGUUCUGAGUCAAACUGGUUGAGUAUUGAUCUUCCGUUGGUUUUCUGAGUGGAUUUCUGGGUUUAAUUGUUGAAUCUGGUUGGUUUUUGCUGCUGAUUGCAUGAUGAUAUUACUGCUGUCUCCUCAUUUUCUGGUUUUAUUUUCUUCCAGGUAAAAAGAAGGUUUGACAGUAUCGAACGUAGUUCCUGAACUCAAGGAAUGGGUCGAGGGCCUUGUGUCACAAAGACCAUAUUCCGAGCGUGCUUGGAUGGAGUUAUCAAAGCAUCGAUAGGAGGCCCGUAAUCAUGUUCUCCCCAAAGACAAUGCUAUGAGGCCUCCAUCUGGUAAUGAGGAUGUGCCUCUCGAGCCCCUUGCUCCGAAGCAGGGUGACGAUAAGAAGAGAAAAAGGGUCUCGAGUUCCUUGAACUCAGAAAAGAAAAAGCCGAAGAGGAGGUCUUGCAAGCCCAAGGGGAGCUCCGACGCUUUAUCCUCGAACUUAGUCCAUCGACUAAGGGAUGAGUCCGAAGAAGAAGAAGAAGAGAAAGAUAAAUCCAAACUGGUGAUCCGCGUGCGGGCUGGUGUCACGAUACAAAAGGCUCUCGAACAGGCGGGUGCUGAAGUUGAAUCAUCUUAACAUGAGGAGGUCAGUGAGAGAGCUCUGGCUGAAGCUCCCAAACCAGAAGGGGGUGAGGCUGUUUCACCCCAAGCUAGGGGUGUCGAGAUGGAGACCAGAGCUGACACUCCUCGAGCAGAGGAAAGUGCCCUAAAAGACGUGCUCGGGGCAAUUGACAUUACCGAGUCUCCUUAGUUCUCAGAUGCCAUGAUCUAUGAGGCCAGUAUGUUAGAAGAUUGUCCUUACGAGGGGCUUUAAGAGGCGACAUAUAUCCACACCUUCUUGGAUAGGUUUGAGUCUAUUGCAUUCGAGGGUGUCACUUGGCUCGGAGACUUGCUGGUGCCAAAGAAGGUACCAUCGCCGGGAGCCAGUGGGUCUUCCUCGAGCCCAAAAUUGGUAAACCGGUUCCCAGCCCCGAGUGUCUAUACUGACCGAAGACGGUCAAUAACUUUCUCUAUCCCAUAAGAUGUUCGAGUUUUCUCUACCCCCGUAGGGUCGCUAGCUAUCUUUGGUGCUUGGUGACCGAAGAAGAUCAGGCAGUGAUGGACAAGGUGGAAACCCCCUAUCUAUUUAAUGAAGCCCAACAAGCAUUAAAUCGGGCUUCAGUGCUGCAUCAUGAAACUUUCUACCGAUACCGAGAGGAAUUAACCCACCACGAGGCUGAAGUUUGGUAUCUCACUAAGAAGAGGGACACCUACGAGCUUCUAGGUGAGAAGCUUCAGGUCGAGUUAGAAAUGGCUCGAAAUGAGCAUGCUGAGAUGCCCAAGCAGGUCCAGCAAAGGCUUGAACAGAUCGGGGAGCUUUAGGAAUAGGUAGAUAUGAUUCAAGCCGAGGCUGAGGAGUUCAAGAAAAAUAUAGACAUCUUAGCCUCGAAAAGGGAAGCGCCCAAGCACAAUUGGAGUCGGACGAGACCCAACUGCUAACUGCAAAAGAGAAAGCCUCGGUGUAGGUCAAGAAAAUCAAGUGGCUUCAAUCCCAAUUGGACUUGGCUAGUUCUAAUAAGGCAAACUUAGCCAAUGAACUCGAGGCAGCCAAAUCUGAGGUGGCCGUGGCCAAUAGCAAAGCUGAUUCUAAAGUGGCCCAAUUCAAGGUCGACGUCGAGGCCAUCCAGGCGCAGGCCAAGAGUAUGGUGGAUCAUGCAUGGUGGCAAGCUCUAAGGGAAGCCCUCGAGGGAGUCCAUGCUCAGGACUUCGAUAUACUAACUGAAAUCAAGAACACCAAAAAAGAAGAAGAUAGGGCCCGAAAGCUGGCCUUUCCCGAGGAAGAUUCUGAGAGUUUAAGCGAGUCUGAAGGUGGGGAAGAUCCCUACGGCGGAGAUGCUACCUCCGAUGAAGACCGGGCCACUUAUGCCUUUAUAUUUUUUGCUUUCUUUUGCAUCUUUUUAGGCUGUUUCGGCCAUUGUAAAUAUUUGAAUUAAGGCAUUCUGGCCUUUGUAAAAAGAUUAUUGGAUAAAUAUAUACAAGGCUUUCUUUUCCCUUUUGGCUUUGAAAUUUUUUAUUUGCUUUAUUACUUGUAUUCACAAAGGUCGGAAUGACUUAGCAUAAAAUAACUUAGGUUGUGUAAGUUCGAACAAACCCUGCCUUUACAUUAUUUUGUGUUGAGGCGUCUUGGGGGUUCGGUGUUACCGAAAACUUUCUCCCGAAGUAAGUAACUCAGGUUAUAGUUUGCCGAGGGUAGCCUUUAGAACUGGUUUUUGAAUAUUUUAAGGCCUAUUUUUUUUACGAUUCUCGGAUGUCUCCGAGCUUUGUUGAUAUGGCUGUAACCUAGUGAGCUUGCUUUCCCGAGUUAUCCAGUCUUCCCUAAGAUAACAAUCCCUGAAUAGGUAUGGCCGUGGUCUUUAAAAUUCGGGGGUUGCCUAAUAGGUCUUGUGUACCCCAUGUUUAAUAGCUCGAUCUGUUCAAGUUUGUUUUCGGACGAUAGUCUUCGAGUGAGGGAGCGACCAUCCGAAUUCUAUUUAUAAUUGGCCCUUGAGCUCGUUUCUUUUAGGAGAUCGAAAGUAUGAAAUUCUUUAAGGUAAGUAAAGAGGAAAUUUUUAAACAUAAGAUGACUGUAAGGAAAGUACUUCUCUUUAUUCUUGUGCUAAAUAGUUAUACAUACGUACAUGUUUUAUGCCAGGGUUCGAUCAAUCUACGUGGGCACGAUCCGUUUGACUAUUUGGACCUUACAAUAAAUUCUACCUAUUAAGACCCUUCCAUUACGAGAUAAUUUCCUCACAAAAGUCGAUAUCUAAGGGUAACGCCCCCCAGUAUUUGAGGUUGAUUGUAGAGGAACCUCAGAUACUGUUAAUGAUGUCUUCGACAUCGAUUCAUGAUCGGCCUUUGAUUCUAAGUUAGCAUGAUCACUGUUGCCUCAUUAAAAACCUUACUGAAAAACCCAAUUUGGAUCAAAACGGUUCAAGGGAAAAAGAGUGCAACGCGUGCUUUCAGAUCUAAAGACUUCGUGGCGCUCUUUUUCGACCACCUACAAGUGUUAGUCCGAAAAUAAAAAGAAAUGAAAUGGGGUCAUACCUUAGUAUAUCAUUUUAGGUGAGUUACGUUCCAAUUGUUAGGUAGUUGUUCUUCACUUGUCAUUCCGAGCUUAUAGAAUCCUUUCCCUUUGACCUCGAGAAUCUAGUAUGGUCCUUCAUAGUUCGGACCUAAUUUCCCUUCGUUCGGAUUUCGGGUGCUUAGUGUGACCUUCCUUAGAACUAAGUCCCCGAUAUUGAAGUAUCAAAGGUUGGCCCUUCGAUCUUAAUAGCUCUCGAUCCAUUGCUUUUGGGUGGCUAAUCUAACAAGGGCGACUUCAAGCCUUUCAUCCAAUAGCCCCAGGCUCGUAUUCAUGGCCUCUUUAUUUGAUUCCUUUGUUACAUAUCGGAAUCUGAUACUCAGCUUCCCGAUUUCAAUCGGUAUUAGAGCUUCGGUGCCAUAAACCAAUGAGAACGGGGUAGCCCAGGUACUGGAUUUCAAAGUUGUGCGAUAUGCCCAAAGAACUUCGGGCAAGAUCUCUUUCCAUUUUCCCUUAGCGUCAGUCAGCCUUUUCUUAAGGCUUUGGAUUUUUGUUUUGUUGGUCGAUUCGGCUUGCCCAUUCCCAUUAGGGUGAUAAGGUAUCGAUAAAAUCCUUUUGAUCUUAUGAUCUUCGAGAAAUUUGGCCACUUUUUUGCCGAUAAACUAUUUUUCCUUGUCACAUAUAAUUUUGGACAGUUUCUCGAACCAACAUGUGAUGUGGUCCCAAAUAAAGUCAAUGACUUCCUUCUCCUUAACCUUCUCGU